rnacentral:tmRNA from 1 species
GGGGCCGACCUGGCUUCGACGUGGGUGCGGAGUCGGUUCAGGGCAUGCCGAGCACCAGUUCGCUCGUAAAACCACUGGAAACAAAGUAACUGCGAACGAUACUUCGUACGCCCUCGCCGCUUAAACACCGGUGAGCCUCGCAACGGUUGGCCGAUGGGCCGGGCCUGAGUCGCAAGACAAGGGCUGCGAGGUUAUCUACAUUGGCUGGUGCCGCGCCGGGUCACAAGGUGCGGAGCGAGACAAAAGUGACUGGCGGGUUCGGUAGCGUGCUGCUGCGCGACCGGAACCGUGAGACUCAAAUCAGACAGCUACGCAUGUAGAACUGGCCGGUGAUGGCUUGCGGACGGGGGUUCGAUUCCCCCCGGCUCCACCA